AGGCUUGUCUGCGACCUCUGAGAGGUCAACGACGCUUGGUCUCGUCUGGGGUCUAGAUUCCGGUCGUGACAAAUACCUGUUUCAACUCAUAUCGCAUCCUUCUCAUCUCGAGGUCCUAAUUCUGUUGCCCCUGCAAUACUUAAGCCGGAUAUAGCAGCUCCAGGAGUCGAUAUAUAGGCUGCUAUUCCUCCUGAUGAAACUCCGUACAAGUUUGAUUCAGGAACAUCCAUGGCAGCUCCUCACAUUUCUGGCAUUGUCGCAUUGCUCAAGUCCCUGCACCCACAUUGGUCUCCAGCUGCUAUCAAGUCUGCACUUGUCACAACAGCAUGGCAAACGGACCCUCAUUUCCGGGGAACCAAUUAUAGCUAAGGGAAUACAGAUAAGAUUGCUGAUCCAUUUGAUUUCGGUGGUGGACUCAGUGAAUGCAAAUGAUCCUAGCCUAGUCUAUGAUAUGGGAGAGUCUAACUAUGUUUUUAAUUAUUUGUACACUAGUGCCAUCAGUAGAAUCACUAACAGAUUUGUUACUUGUGCAAACAAUUCUUGAUUUCAUUCUUCCUUGUUUAACAAUACCAAGUCUCGGAAAAUAAGUGUCACCAACGUUGGACUAGUGAACUCCCAAUAUAAGGCUAUCAUUGAGCAUUACCAUUCAUUUAAUGCCUGAAACUUUGAUAUUCAAUUCCAGCAGUGGCUUCUAUGCAAGAAAUAUCAGAAAUGAGCAU